AUGCCGCUCUCCAGCCUGCUCUGGGUGCCCCUGGCCUUCAUCUUCUCUGGAACCGGUAUGGCCCAGAAAGUUACUCAAGUCCAGCCAGACAUAACCAGUCAAGUGGGGCAGGCAGUCACCCUGAACUGUCGGUAUGAGAUAAGUUGGGGCACAGACUACUACUACAUUUUUUGGUAUAAGCAGCUUCCCAGUGGAGAGAUGACUUUCCUUAUUCAACAGUAUUCAGAGAGCUACAAUGCAAGGAAUGGCCGCUAUUCUAUAAACUUUCAGAAAGCAGAUAAAUCCAUCAGCCUCACCAUUUCAGCCUUACAGCUGGACGAUUCUGCAAAGUAUUUCUGUGCUCUCUGGGACCUCACAGUGCUUGAAGUAAUAGGAAAAGCUAAACAAAAACCCCAGAGCUCAAUAAAUGGGAGCCGCCCAACACCCGCUUCAGGACCCAAGCUGAAAUUCACACCUGCAGACCCCAGACAAGAAAUGGUAGUCCUGUGGUUGCUUAAUCUGUGGUCUGGAUCAGAACAUUUAAUUCUAAAUUAA